rnacentral:rRNA from 1 species
GUUGACCUCGGAUCAGGUAGGGAUACCCGCUGAACUUAAGCAUAUCAUUAAGCGGAAGAAAAAGAAACCAACAGGGAUUGCCUCAGUAACGGCGAGUGAAGCGGCAAGAGCUCAAAUUUGAAAGCUGGCCCCCUCGGGGUCCGCAUUGUAAUUUGCAGAGGAUGCUUCGGGAGCGGCCCCCAUCUAAGUGCCCUGGAACGGGCCGUCAUAGAGGGUGAGAAUCCCGUCUGGGAUGGGGUGUCCGCGCCCGUGUGAAGCUCCUUCGACGAGUCGAGUUGUUUGGGAAUGCAGCUCUAAAUGGGUGGUAAAUUUCAUCUAAAGCUAAAUACUGGCCGGAGACCGAUAGCGCACAAGUAGAGUGAUCGAAAGAUGAAAAGCACUUUGAAAAGAGAGUUAAACAGCACGUGAAAUUGUUGAAAGGGAAGCGCUUGCGACCAGACUCGCUCGCGGGGUUCAGCCGGCAUUCGUGCCGGUGUACUUCCCCGCGAGCGGGCCAGCGUCGGUUUGGGCGGCCGGUCAAAGGCCCUCGGAAUGUAACGCCCCCCGGGGCGUCUUAUAGCCGAGGGUGCCAUGCGGCCAGCCCGGACCGAGGAACGCGCUUCGGCUCGGACGCUGGCAUAAUGGUCGUAAGCGACC